UUCAGAAUCUUGGGUUAAUUAGCAAUAUUCCCCAGUAGUGCGAUAUUGGAGGAAGCUUUUCCGUCGGACAGAGAUGGAAAUAACAUCAAAGGACGUUACGCGAUCAGCGCGAUUCAAGCCGUGGUUACCGCUUGAGAUUUGGUUUUGUCUGACAGCGAAGACGAUGCUCCGAGGAGUUCAGCAUUGUGAGUUUGGAACCACC
rnacentral:lncRNA from 1 species